AAUUUUCCUCUGCAAGUGGAGCAUCUGCUAGGAUCAAUAGCAGCAGUGUUAAGCAGGAAGCUACAUUCUGUUCCCAAAGGGAUGGCGAUGCCUCUUUGAAUAAAGCCCUAUCCUCAAGUGCUGAUGAUGCGUCUUUGGUUAAUGCCUCAAUUUCCAGCUCUGUGGUAAAAAGCUACUUCUCCAGUGAAAUCUACUACAUCUAUCACUGAUGCUAAAAGUUGUGAGGGACAAAAUCCUGAGCUACUUCCAAAAACUCCUAUUAGUCCUCUGAAAACGGGGGUAUCGAAACCAAUUGUGAAGUCAACUUUAUCCCAGACAGUUCCAUCCAAGGGAGAAUUAAGUAGAGAAAUUUGUCUGCAAUCUCAAUCUAAAGACAAAUCUACGACACCAGGAGGAACAGGAAUUAAGCCUUUCCUGGAACGCUUUGGAGAGCGUUGUCAAGAACAUAGCAAAGAAAGUCCAGCUCGUAGCACACCCCACAGAACCCCCAUUAUUACUCCAAAUACAAAGGCCAUCCAAGAAAGAUUAUUCAAGCAAGACACAUCUUCAUCUACUACCCAUUUAGCACAACAGCUCAAGCAGGAACGUCAAAAAGAACUAGCAUGUCUUCGUGGCCGAUUUGACAAGGGCAAUAUAUGGAGUGCAGAAAAAGGCGGAAACUCAAAAAGCAAACAACUAGAAACCAAACAGGAAACUCACUGUCAGAGCACUCCCCU
rnacentral:lncRNA from 1 species